GGGCACGUGGCGGAAUUGGUAUACGCGCUAGUCUUAGGAACUAGUGCCUCACGGCUUGGGAGUUCGAGUCUCCCCGUGCCCA
rnacentral:tRNA from 1 species